UACGCUGUUCUUGCACUCUAAGAGAUGGAAUAAAUGACCAACUUAAAAAAGUGAUGGAUUCUCUACCAUAGCUACAUAUACAUAUAGAAGAACUACUUCUAAGAAGAAGUGUGGAGCAUUUUGAGCUCAGAACCUCUACAGAAAAACAUAAAAAAAACAAAAAAUAAAAAAAUACAUGAAAUAAGAAGAUAUCAAAAAGAAUUACACUAUAGCACCUUCACAAUGCAAAGGAGAUAGGAGAAUUGUUUUAGAAUUAUUGGAGCUU
rnacentral:lncRNA from 1 species